rnacentral:rRNA from 1 species
CCGCACAAGCGGCGGAGCAUGCGGAUUAAUUCGAUGCAACGCGAAGAACCUUACCAAGGCUUGACAUACACCGGUAACGCCCAGAGAUGGGUGCCCCUUUGUGGUCGGUGGACAGGUGGUGCAUGGUUGUCGUCAGCUCGUGUCGUGAGAUGUUGGGUUAAGUCCCGCAACGAGCGCAACCCUCGUCCUAUGUUGCCAGCGGGUCGUGCCGGGGACUCAUGGGAGACUGCCGGGGUCAACUCGGAGGAAGGUGGGGAUGACGUCAAAUCAUCAUGCCCCUUAUGUCUUGGGCUUCACGCAUGCUACAAUGGCCGGUACAAAGGGCUGCGAUACCGCGAGGUGGAGCGAAUCCCAGAAAGCCGGUCUCAGUUCGGAUUGGGGUCUGCAACUCGACCCCAUGAAGUCGGAGUCGCUAGUAAUCGCAGAUCAGCAACGCUGCGGUGAAUACGUUCCCGGGCCUU